CCUACGGGAGGCUGCAGUGGGGAAUAUUGGACAAUGGGGGGAACCCUGAUCCAGCCAUGCCGCGUGUGUGAAGAAGGCCCUCGGGUUGUAAAGCACUUUCAGUGAGGAAGAACGCCUGGUGGUUAAUACCCAUCAGGAAAGACAUCACUCACAGAAGAAGCACCGGCUAACUCCGUGCCAGCAGCCGCGGUAAUACGGAGGGUGCGAGCGUUAAUCGGAAUUACUGGGCGUAAAGCGCGCGUAGGUGGCUUGAUAAGCCGGUUGUGAAAGCCCCGGGCUCAACCUGGGAGCGGCAUCCGGAACUGUCAAGCUAGAGUGCAGGAGAGGAAGGUAGAAUUCCCGGUGUAGCGGUGAAAUGCGUAGAGAUCGGGAGGAAUACCAGUGGCGAAGGCGGCCUUCUGGACUGACACUGACACUGAGGUGCGAAAGCGUGGGUAGCAAACAGGAUUAGAUACCCGAGUAGUC
rnacentral:rRNA from 1 species